GACGAACGCUGGCGGCGUGCUUAACACAUGCAAGUCGAACGGAAAGGCCCUGCUUUUGUGGGGUGCUCGAGUGGCGAACGGGUGAGUAACACAUGAGUAUCCUGCCCUUGUCUUUGUGAUAACUUCAGGAAACUGGGGCUAAUACCGGAUAGGAGCUCCUGCUGCAUGUUGGGGGAUGGAAAGUUUCGGCGGUUGGGGAUGGACUCGCGGCUUAUCAGCUUGUUGGUGGAGUAGUGGCUUACAAAGCCUUUGACGGGUAGCCGGCAUGAGAGCGUGAACGGCGACAUGGGGACUGAGAGACGGCGCAGAAGCCUAUGUGAGGCAGCAGUCGGGAAUAUGGCACAACGGGGGGAAGUCUGAUGCAGCAAUGCCGGGUGCGUGAUGCCGGCCUUCGGGUUGUAAACCGCUUUCGCCUGUGAUGAAGAGGGAGUGACGGUAAUGGGUAAAGAAGCACCGGCUAACUACGUG
rnacentral:rRNA from 1 species